GACGUAGGAUGCAAGCGUUGUCCGGAUUUAUUGGGCGUAAAGAGUUCGUAGGCGGUUUGUUAAGUCUGAUGUUAAAGACCGGGGCUCAACCUCGGAAAUGCAUUGGAUACUGGCAGACUGGAGUAUGGUAGAGGUCAGUGGAAUUCCCAGUGUAGCGGUGAAAUGCGUAGAUAUUGGGAAGAACACCGGUGGCGUAAGCGACUGACUGGGCCAUAACUGACGCUGAGGAACGAAAGCCAGGGGAGCGAAUGGG
rnacentral:rRNA from 1 species